GAUGAACGCUGGCGGCGUGCCUAAUACAUGCAAGUCGAACGCGAGCACUUGUGCUCGAGUGGCGAACGGGUGAGUAAUACAUAAGUAACCUGCCCUAGACAGGGGGAUAACUAUUGGAAACGAUAGCUAAGACCGCAUAGGUACGGACACUGCAUGGUGACCGUAUUAAAAGUGCCUCAAAGCACUGGUAGAGGAUGGACUUAUGGCGCAUUAGCUGGUUGGCGGGGUAACGGCCCACCAAGGCGACGAUGCGUAGCCGACCUGAGAGGGUGACCGGCCACACUGGGACUGAGACACGGCCCUU
rnacentral:rRNA from 1 species